rnacentral:rRNA from 1 species
CAUGCAAGUCAAGGCGUAGCCGAAAGGCUACGACUGGCGCACGGGUGAGUAACGCGUAGGUAACCUACCCCUACCCCUGACAUAACACCGAGAAAUCGGUGCUAANAUCAGAUGAGGAGCCGAAAGGCUUCAAAGGGGCAACCCGGGUAGGGAUGGGCCUGCGUCCGAUUAGGUAGUUGGUAGGGUAAAAGCCUACCAAGCCGACGAUCGGUAGCUGGCCUGAGAGGGUGGUCAGCCACACUGGGACUGAGACACGGCCCAGACUCCUACGGGAGGCAGCAGUGAGGAAUAUUGGGCAAUGGGCGAAAGCCUGACCCAGCGACGCCGCGUGUGGGAUGACGGAGCUCUGCUUCGUAAACCACUGUCGGAGGGGAAGAAAAGCUCCCACGGGGAGCUGGGACUGUACCCUCAGAGGAAGGAUCGGCUAACUACGUGCCAGCAUCCGCGGUAAAACGUAGGAUCCGAGCGUUGUCCGGAAUCACUGGGUGUAAAGGGUGCGUAGGCGGGCUUGCGCGUCAAGGGUUAAAGACCUCGGUCUCAACCGAGGCAAUGC